GCCAUCCUUGGGAUACCACCCUUGUAGUACUGGGACUCUAACCAUAGGCCAUGAAUCUGGUCUUGGGACAAUGUCAGGUGGGCAGUUUGACUGGGGCGGUCGCCUCCCAAAAGGUAACGGAGGCGCUCAAAGGUUCUCUCAGUACGGUCGGAAAUCGUACGUAGAGUGUAAAGGCAAAAGAGAGCUGGAUUGCAAGACAUACAGGUCGAGCAAGGAGGAAAAUCGGACUUAGUGAUCCGGUGGUUCUGCGUGGAAGGGCCAUCGCUCAACGGAUAAAAGCUACCCGGGGGAUAACAGGCUUAUCUCCCCCAAGAGUCCACAUCGACGGGGAGGUUUGGCACCUCGAUGUCGGCUCAUCACAUCCUGGGGCUGUAGUAGAUCCCAAGGGUUGGGCUGUUCGCCCAUUAAAGUGGUACGCGAGCUGGGUUCAGAACGUCGUGAGACAGUUCGGUCCCUAUCCGUCGCAGGCGUAGGAAAUUUGAGAAGACCUGUCCUUAGUACGAGAGGACCGGGAUGGACGUACCUCUGGUGUACCAGUUGU
rnacentral:rRNA from 1 species